GUCUAAGUACUAGCCAACUUUUAAAAUGGUGAAACCGCGAAAAGCUCAUUAAAUCGGCUUUGGUUCCUUAGAUAGUUUGCAGAUUGGAGUUUUUUUCGAUUCGUCGAGAAAAACAAAAUUCUGAAAUGGAUAACUGUGGUAAUUCUAGAGCUAAUACAUGAAAAAAAUUUGGUGCGAAACUGGCGUUUGUUUUCGGACAAACGUUAGGCUUUGCACGCUUUUAUUAGAGAAAAAAGCCAAUUUUAUUAUUGUUCGCGUGUGCACGUUUAACGAUAGCGUUGCGAGUUGGACUUGUAUUCUGUUGUCGUAACGGCCGCGUGAAACCAAUACUAAUUAAAAAUUUUGGUGUUGAAUCUGAAUAACUUGAAUGGAUUCUCUUUGAAAGAAUUUCAUUUCGUUUCGGAGUGAAAUUUGAUUAGAAGAGGGUUUAAAGCAGACCGCAUUAAAAGCUGCAAACAAAACGAUGAAAAUGUGUUCUUCGCGUCCGAUUCGGUGUUUGUAGUUUAUGUGG
rnacentral:rRNA from 1 species